GGCUCAGAGUGAACGCUGGCGGCAGGCCUAAUACAUGCAAGUCGAACGGCAGCACAGUGGAGCUUGCUCCAUGGGUGGCGAGUGGCGGACGGGUGAGGAAUACAUGGGAAUCUGCCCAGUCGUGGGGGAUAACGUAUGGAAACGUACGCUAAUACCGCAUGCGCCCUUCGGGGGAAAGUCGGGGACCGCAAGGCCUGACGCGAUUGGAUGAGCCCAUGUUCGAUUAGCUAGUUGGCGGGGUAACGGCCCACCAAGGCGACGAUCGAUAGCUGGUCUGAGAGGAUGAUCAGCCACACUGGAACUGAGACACGGUCCAGACUCCUACGGGAGGCAGCAGUAGGGAAUAUUGGACAAUGGGCGCAAGCCUGAUCCAGCCAUGCCGCGUGAGUGAAGAAGGCCCUCGGGUUGUAAAGCUCUUUGUUGGGGAAGAAAAGCAGUUGGUUAAUACCCGAUUGUUCUGACGGUACCCAAAGAAUAAGCACCGGCUAACUUCGUG
rnacentral:rRNA from 1 species